UAAUGUCAUCCUUGUGUGCAACUUUCGCAAAUUGACCGUAAUCGAGUCGAUCGCAGAGGGUGCCAUUUUACGUAAAUUUCUGUAAACGAAGUUAAUAUGGGUUUAGUGCGCCGUAGGGCAUACGAAAGAGGUUAUUAUCUACUCAACUUUCUUACGCCUAAUACUCCCUCGUAUAUUUAAAGUCUCAGACUGUUGUUUCCAAACAAUAACGACCUUUUAAAGGUAGUUUAUACGGUUAGGUCAUACGAGUUUGUUGUUGGGGCGAGCGUCGCUCGCUUGGCUUGCGUGUUAAGCUGAAGCUGAAAGAAGCUUGCAGUCUUUCUUGAACUACCGUCUAUGCAGGAUAAACGCUUGGUGUUAGCACGUGUGUUCGUUGUUCUUAUUUUCGGUUUCACUACCAGUGAAAUUCAGUUUUUUUUGUGCAAGUGAACUGUGUCAGUGCAUGUGACAUCAAUCAAUCGCCUAAUGGUUAUACUUGCUAAACAUGGUGAGUCCUUUGAUUAUAAUCGAGAACUUUCACUACCAAUGAGCGCAUUCGUACUUGGUAUUGGUAAGUCGCGUUAUUCCACUUAAUUAGUCAAACAAAAAUAAUAAACUAAAAAUAAAUAAAUUAAGUAGGUAUACAACAGUCUCUUGGAACAAAUUUUUAUCGAGGAUCAUACCUGGAAAAACAAGCUGGAAGUCUAUAAACAAUAAAAUCCAAAAAAUCACCAAUCAUAUGCGAUAUUUCCAUGAUAUUCGGAUUUAAAGCUGAGGCGUCUCGUCUAGACCUACCGUUUUCUCUUUGAUAGUACGCUCCUUUGAUAGUCCGUUUUCAAGAUAUUCGAUUUUGAUCCUAACGCCGGAUACGGUACAUUCUGUACUUAACUUAAACGGUCAUCCUUUGACUCCAAUCCGUCCGUCCGAUAUCUAUGGAGGAAACAUGCAAAAAUGUCUAAGAGUGGUUGAAGCAGAUGCAAGUAAACGCUUACCCUUCGAAAAGGGUUGGCAAUACUAGGAAAAUUCUCAAAGCAGAAGUUGUUGUUGAAAAGUGCCCGCAGUAGUAGUGAUGUGACCUAGUCGUUGCAGAAAGCACUAAAAACCGAAGAAGAAAGUAAUAACUAAUCAGAAUAGAAAGUACCAAAAUGUUUUUCAUAAAAGUUUCAAAUGCUUCGUUUCGAAGCUACCCUUAAAAAAUCCCCAGAAUUGAAUUUCUUUUUUUCUGGAGAACCAUAACACGGAUCAAGAAGUAUCGAGUCCUUUUUGAUAGGGAUGUAAACAUUGCUGUAGCAAAAAAAACGUGUCAAAUAUAUUUGAACACUGUUCUCUAAACAAGUGUCCCUUUUUUUAAAUCUAAAUUGUUUUACAAAAACUGCUUUCAUUUGGUACUUUCUAGUAUGGUCAGCAUUCCAGCACUUGACCACGAGAAAAUACUCGGGACCGUUAGAAAAUUCUGGAGGCCCACCUAAUUUUGGCAGUUGGCCCAGGGUACGAGAUCAUAUUUCGACAGUUGGUCCAGGGUAUGUGAAAUUAAGCAUCAACAAAUCGUAAACACCGGUAUUUUAUUAGUCACUAAAUUUCACUGAUUUUUCUACCACCAGAAAUACUUCCUCUUGUUGGUACAGAGCUACCGAUGUCAAAUCUUCCUUUCGGAAAGCGGCUGGAGAGAAUGUUCGAAGGACUCUGAAAAGGGAAAACUGGCUUUUAUUGCGAAUAUCUUUCUUAUAUGGUUCCAGUUGUAUUAAGAUAAGAACGCUACGGUCAUUAUGGAUAAUAUGACGGUGCAUAUAAACAGGAUGCUCGCGCUUUUAGACGCGUUGUCGCACUUCAUCUGCGGAACUGAAAGAAACGUCAUUUCUGCUGGCUUCGGAGAGAUGUUUCUCUGAUCGCCGUUAUUGAAUCGUCGCAGGACAUUAAUUCCUACCAGCAAAGAUUGGUCAAAAAGUGCUGUUGCUGACGGCUCGUAGUGUGGUGACCCUAAUGUUAAUAAGCUCAUUUGACUUCCUUUUUUGAUUUUACGGAACACGCCACAUGUGAGAAAGUUUCGGAUUUCUACAGACGCAGCCCCUUCGUAGAAUCGGGAGAUAAUUUCUCCAUUUUUCUUACAUUCUGUUACCGAGAAUAAUUGGAAAUCAUUCGGACUUUUUCAUGAUGAAGUGCCGAGAAACAAUUGUAGACUUUUUCUCCUUGCAGGAAGUUGCCUUUUUUUACGAUCAGAACUUUAGACGAGAAAACGCGUUCAACGACCUUCAUAAAAACGCCGUCGUUUCAGACACCUUCGGCACAAGAAGGGAAUAAGAAGAUCAUGGGAAAGAUUUAAGUUUCGCCCGGCAGUAAUUGACUGCAAGCCCUAUCUCAAGGCAAUUUCAAUGACGCAAUAUAUUCCGAGGUGCUCCUCGGGAUAUAGAUUUUAAGUGUCUCAGUUUAAUUAAGAAUUGAAUGGGGGUGACUUCGCCAUUUGCAUAAUCGCUUUAACUAAAUUACACAAGCAAGCAGCGAACUUAAAUUUCGUUCUAAUUUCUACUCUUUCUCUCUCCCUCGAUCGCACUACGUUUAAAAAUCAUUACGGCGCAUUUCCGACGUGUAUGACACGAAAACUAAUGGGGUAAGUUCGCCUUUUUAUUUAAACAACUGGAUUAACCGCUCGGUAGGAAGCUUAAUAAGACAAUUUAAAUGUUGCCACAUAAAAAAAGGCAAUCCUUGUCGAAAUAUCUCAGCGAGCUUUAUGGACUUACUGGAAAAUGCACUUUGCAGCCAAUUGGUUGUUUUCAACACCUGAACGCAGUAAUGCUCGUAAAUAAGAUCCAAAUAUAGAUAUCUUGCACUUUCUCAGGGCACCAAUUUGCAUAAUCCGAAAAUGAAUGUAUGCGACUUUAAUUCGUUUUAGCCCGAUUAUUGAGAUUUUAUUUUGUAUUUGUGGAAACUUCAUUGGUAUUCAUUUAUUUAAAUGCAGUUGCGGGACUUUUAUUUCCAUAAUAAAGACUUUUUCGUGUACGUUACUCGUGUUAUGAUCUCAUCUAGACUGUUAUCGUGGGUAGUGUGUGCUUAAAAGUUUUAGCUCGAUUAUCCAGAUCGUAAACUAUUAUCAUAAUAUGUCGUAGAUGAAACUGAGCUGGAUGCGGAAUUUAAAUGAUGAAAACUAUAAGAUCUUGGACUUCAAAAACACGAAGUUUCUUGUAUACUUAUAGCUUGAAAGUCGACUCGAUCCCCGUUAAUUGACUGUUCCAGGGGCACGUCUUACGCCUAAUUUCGAGAAUGGUUACUACAACACAUUUUAUUAGCUACUGUUAAUUGCGAUAUCAAGCUGAUAAAUACCUAAACUGCACGGUCUCGACUAGUUUUAAGCUUGUUUGCAUAUAUCAUUGGAAACCAAACUCAGCUAAUAUUGAAAUUCUCGAAUAUUAAUGUGUCUUCGUUUUGUAAAUGGCAAAAGCUUUCGGACGCAAUAAAGAUAAUUGAAAUAUCUUCACGGGAACGGGCGCAAACGGCGAAUUACCUACAGCGUUUGUUUACGGUACCGGUAUGCAAUCUUUCUAAACAUUUUCGGUACGAUUCUAAGAGAUUCUUUAGGAAGAAAUCAGGCUUGCUUGUGAGCGAGCUUCGUCUAGUGAAGUAGAGAAAUUCUAAUAGAAUAGAGGGUUGACAUGGUAAAGCGGUCCCGAUCAGAAGAGAUCAAGUAUACAAGUAGAAUCACCGAGUAAUCUCUAUGUAACCUCUGAAACGUGACACCAGAAUUUCUUUUUCUUUCAUAAAUUCUUCAAAAAUCUGAACGUUCGCUAAGAAUCUCGAGAAGACAUCUGAAGAAUAUGGAGAGUUUGAAAUACUUUAGAACCCCUAAAGUAUUUAUUAAGUACGUUUUUACAGAAAUAUUUGAAAAAUUCCAUAAUGGAGGCCUAAAUAUGGAAACCAGUGAAAACCUUUCGAGAGCACUCUAAAAUACUGGAUAUAAACUCAAGACUGAUUAGGAAUAAAUUACUAUUUAACGAUUUGGAGUGUAAGGUUUCCAGUCUUCAAUUUGGCAGAAGUGACGGUGUGUCACCUUACAUUCUACCUCAAAUCUACUUGAUCUCAUACCGUGACUGAACAUCGUUGAUGUCUCAUUUGAAGCAAGAGAUGAAGCUUUCCUAAUCACUUCGGGACGUUGGCCAUUUUUAAUUAUUCUCCAAUUUCGUGGAGGAAAUAGCUAAACACAUUGGCUUGAUGUACCGGAACUAGAAACUUUUUCGCGAUGUAGAUUACCGGCAUUCGUUGUUGGACACUCCGUAGGUCAAUUACUUAACGGCAUUGAUCAUUAAUCACUUUUAUUAGCAAUUAAUUUGGAUUAGGUUAAAGAUUGUGAUGGUAGGUUUAAAGAGGAUAAGUGAUUUCGAAUCCAAAAAUAUACGUACGAAUUUAGGUGAUCGAAAGAAUUUCGUUGUAAAGUUUGCGUUGUUUUAAACUUAUACUUCAUUAUUAUUUUAACAAUUCGAGAAUGCAGUGUUUCUUUCGGGACACUGCGGGAGUCUAAUUGCUAUGUAAAUAAGAAACCCAUAAAAUCGUUUGUCAAUCAAUCUUAUAACGGUAUACAGACAUUUAUUGCACGAAAUAUAUUUUGGUAUGACAUUUACAACAAAAACCAAAUGGAGCUCGCACCGGCGCUAUUAUGGAGUGAUCCGAAACUACGAUUGUCUAAUAGUUUUCGGAACGUGUAAAAGAAGGGUAUACAUACUAUUUCAAUUAUGGACUAGUGUACACUGGAACUAUUUUUAUUAAUUGUGAUUAUAUUUGAAAGGUUUCAGUUAGCAAGUUCCUUUUUUUUAGAUUCUGUCGCACUGUUUCAAAAUGGCGACGAUGCGACGAACUUCCGUACUCCGCGCACAAAUGCCUCGAACUUAAAUGGUGCGGUGUCGUAAAAUUUUAUCGUUUGCUGCAACACAAUUAACUACAGUUAUUAUACUCACUUAAUUGGCCGGAUUAAAAUUUCAAAAUUCAGUAGUCUUAGUAAGUAAUUGGAAUUCUCGGAUCAAGCGAGACGUAUGCUUAUCUAUCGUACUACGGCGAUCUUGCUUGCUAUAAUACUCCUUUUCGCUUAUAAUUUUGGAGACUAAAAUCGGUUAUUAAUGAGUGAUGGGAACUGAAAUCGUACAAUAUUAAUUUGCUCUCGUCUUCCAAACGACGAGAGGUUUCGGGGGCUCUACGGGAACAAUUAGAUACGGCAUCUUGUUUUCCUUAUCGGCGGUUAAACGACACUGAACACUGAAGCCCUUCAUUCUACCUUCUAUUUCCCGCUCCUAGAAUAUAAAUAAAUAGGUCCGGAACGUACAGUUUCUCGUUCAAUGCCAUCCAUGUACCGGGUGUCCAUUAAAGCUGGUAGAUUGAAUGUACGAAAACCAAUACGAAGUGCCAGACAGUGACAUCUCGCAUCAGAAAACUAAAUCAACUGAAAGCAACACAAGGCAGAAGUUAAUUAGCGGUGUCUACCGGAAAGUAAAUGCAGGAAAGCGAAUCAACAUCCUUCCCCUCCCCCCUAUAAUUAGUAGAACACGAAUUAGCAAAAAGCUUACUUUGCAAUAAAACGGAGCGAUAGAAAUUACUGUCCAAGAAAAAGCAAAAGCUGUAGAUACGGUGCGGUAAACUUAAUGUAAAAGCAAAAAUUAAACGGUACGAAUACAAAAUAAGUAUACGGUAGGUACUUACGAGCACCCACGUGCGAAAAUGCAAAAGGCACACGGUCCCCUCUAAACAACGGCUUUACCCUUUAUAGAAUUCAGCCAUUUCAUGAAGGGAUCGACGGUUUUCCAGCCUACCUAGUGUAUUCGGAUAAGAAUGUCCAGAAAUUAAAACUUCUUUAAUUAAUUACUCUACUUCUGGUAAUCAUAACAACCGGAAACAACUUGUAAACAUCUGGAAAAAUUAGAGCGCAUCCAGGGACACCUCUUACGACUGAUUUCCACAACGUUUACCGCAACACAUUUCAUUAGUUACUGUUAAUUACACUUACUUAAUAGGCCGAAUUGAAAUAUCUGAAGUUGGUAGUUCAAUUAACACCUAUUGUUAAUUGGAAUGUUGGGAUCAACCGGUGGGGUCGGCGAUAUCAAGUUGAUAAACACCUACACUGCACGCUUCGGCUGGUUUUAAACUGGUUUUCAUAUACCAUUGGAGACCAAAAUCAUCUAAUUCUUAACGGGAGUGAAAUUCUAAAAUAUGAAUUUGCCUUUGUCUUGUAAAUAGCUAGCAAGAGCUUUCGAACGCAAGAAAGUGAAUUGAAAUAUCUUUACGGAAACGGUUGCAAACGGCGAAUUGACUACAGUUUUUGCUUACGGUACCGGCGGCUGAAGCACAACUAUAGAAAUCAAAUCAAUUACCUUUACCUUCUAUCUUCAACUCCGAAAACCAACACCAAUACUUUGGGAGCGACACUUUUCGUAACGAAGCGCCCAACUUAAUGUCCAUCGUACCAGCUGGUCAUAAAAGUAUGUAAACUUCAAGAAAGAAAAGGGGUGUUUCGUUACAAACCCGCCAAAGAAAAAAAUAUGGUGACGUUAUGUUUUACAAGUCACAACCGCAACAACUCUCGUUCUUCUACAGGAUCGGCUUUGCACAAGCGAAAGAUCAAGGAAAGGAAAAUCGAACAAUAUUAUUGUACUGAAAGAUACUUUGCGUGACCUCUAGUGGCAGAAUAAUGAAGUACGAAAUUAAUUCUAUACCAAUAAUCUAUACAAGGAAUUUACAGAAAAAAUAUACAGAUGGCGUAGCGAGUGUCUGAAAGUACAGUGACUAUCUGAAAUGAAUAUUUAACUGGGGAAAAUAUUGAAUGACAAAAAAACUUUGCAGCUUAUAUCGUUAACGAUUACACUUUUUCUAGUUUCUAGGUAUAGUUUUUGAAACUGCAAAUUCGAAAUGCGAAGAGGGUACUUUAAGAAGGGAAAGUGAAGGAUAGGGACGGGAUGGAUCCGUCCGUGGAGUCAAAACUUCAGAUGCAAAUACCUUGAGAACGAGGUGUCGAAAGAGGGUACUCACAAAUAGAAAAUGGCACGAAUGUGCAAAGAAUACUUGGUGAAGACGUUUUGUAAGUUUGAUGGAAAGAUUGGACUUGUAAGUCGCGUCGAAUUCGUCGAUUAAAAGGACUUUAACAAAAAAAAGCCAAUUAUGGUUCAAUUUUGUGUGACUUCUACUAGUAUUUAUCGAUUGACGAUUUUGCUUCCUGGGCCUACCGGAAAUGCGUCGUUUGUAACGGAGAUGUAACAAACUGUUUUCUUCACUAUUCCUAAACAGGGGAUUAUUAAACAAAGAUUUGGCUUAUACGCGUUAAGCAAAGGGUUCUCGAAUAUCUGAUCUACUAGGCGAGGAUUUCAAGACCACGUGUUCAAGUUCGACGUGCACGUGUUUUAGGUAAGGCCUUUUAUUUUCCCCAUUUCUCAUGUGUAUAUAAAAUUUUAACAGCCCAAUAAAAAUAAA